rnacentral:rRNA from 1 species
CGUAAACCCAAGGUUUCCAGGGGAAGGUUCGUCCGCCCAGGGUUAGUCGGGACCUAAGCCGAGGCCGAAAGGCGUAGGUGAUGGACAACAGGUUGAGAUUCCUGUACCACCAAUAAUCGCUUGAGAGAAGGAAUGACACAGUAGGAUAAGCUAACCACACUGUUGGUUAUGUGUGGCUAAGUACUGAGGCAGUCAAGGUAGGCAAAUCCGCCUUGAUAAUGCUAGGGUACGAUGGGGAGCGAAAUUAAGUAGCGAAGUAGCUGAUUUCACACUGUCGAGAAAAGUUUCUAUCGAGAUUAAAGGUGCCCGUACCGCAAACCGACACAGGUGGGUGAGGAGAGUAUCCUAAGGCCAGCGAGAGAACUGUUGUUAAGGAACUCGGCAAAAUGACCCCGUAACUUAGGGAGAAGGGGUGCCACGUUAGGGUUAACGCCCGAGGUGGCCGCAGAGAAUAGGCCCAAGCGACUGUUUACCAAAAACACAGGUUUCUGCUAAGUCGCAAGACGAUGUAUAGGAGCUGACGCCUGCCCGGUGCUGGAAGGUUAAGGGGAUCUGUUAGGAUUUAUCCGAAGCAGUGAACUUAAGCCCCAGUAAACGGCGGCCGUAACUAUAACGGUCCUAAGGUAGCGAAAUUCCUUGUCGGGUAAGUUCCGACCCGCACGAAUGGCGUAACGAUUUGGGCACUGUCUCAACAACAGACUCGGUGAAAUUGUAAUCCCGGUGAAGAUGCCGGGUACCUGCGACAGGACGGAAAGACCCCAUGGAGCUUUACUGUAGCUUGACAUUGAAUUUUGGUGCUACAUGUACAGGAUAGGUGGGAGGCUAUGAAGUCGGGACGCCAGUCUCGGCGGAGCCAUCCUUGGGAUACCACCCUUGUAGUACUGAGAUUCUAACCAGAUACCUUGAAUCAGGUAUUGGGACACUGUCAGGUGGGCAGUUUGACUGGGGCGGUCGCCUCCCAAAGAGUAACGGAGGCGCUCAAAGGUUCUCUCAGCACGGUCGGAAAUCGUGCGUAGAGUGUAAAGGCAGAAGAGAGCUUGAUUGCAAGACAUACAGGUCGAGCAAGGACGAAAGUCGGACUUAGUGAUCCGGUGGUUCCGCAUGGAAGGGCCAUCGCUCAACGGAUAAAAGCUACCCUGGGGAUAACAGGCUUAUCUCCCCCAAGAGUCCACAUCGACGGGGAGGUUUGGCACCUCGAUGUCGGCUCAUCACAUCCUGGGGCUGUAGUAGGUCCCAAGGGUUGGGCUGUUCGCCCAUUAAAGUGGUACGCGAGCUGGGUUCAGAACGUCGUGAGACAGUUCGGUCCCUAUCCGUCGCGGGCGUAGGAAAUUUGAGGAGACCUGUCCUUAGUACGAGAGGACCGGGAUGGACGUACCUCUGGUGUACCAGUUGUUCUGCCAAGGGCAUGGCUGGGUAGCUAUGUACGGAAUGGAUAAGCGCUGAAAGCAUCUAAGCGCGAAGCCAACUUCAAGAUAAGAUUUCCCACCGUAAGGGUAAGAUCCCAGGAAGACUACCUGGUUGAUAGGUCAAAGGUGUAAGUGCAGCAAUGCAUGUAGCUUAUUGAUACUAAUAGAUCGAGGACUUGACCAA